rnacentral:misc_RNA from 1 species
GAUGAAGAAGGUAGCGAAAUGCGAUAAGUUAUGUGAAUUGCAGAAUUCAGUGAAUCAUCGAAUCUUUGAACGCACAUUGCGCCCCCUGGUAUUCCGGGGGGCAUGCCUGUCCGAGCGUCAUUACAACCCUCAAGCUCAGCUUGGUGUUGGGCCCCGCCGCCCCGGCGGGCCCUAAAGUCAGUGGCGGUGCCGUCCGGCUCCGAGCGUAGUAAUUCUUCUCGCUCUGGAGGUCCGGUCGUGUGCUCGCCAGCAACCCCCAAUUUUUUUCAGGUUGACCUCGGAUCAGGUAGGGAUACCCGCUGAACUUAAGCAUAUCAAUAAGCGGAGGA